GAAGGCAUGGCGCAGUGGUAGCGUAUCUGAUUCCAGCUCUCAGAAUCUAGAUUCCAGAUGGUCCUGGGUUCAAAUCCCAGUGUCUUCC
rfam:Botryotinia fuckeliana BcDW1 unplaced genomic scaffold Scaffold_212, whole genome shotgun sequence.